UGCAGUCGAGCGGAUCUCUUCGGAGAUCAGCGGCGGACGGGUGAGUAACACGUGGGCAACCUGCCUGUAAGACUGGGAUAACUCCGGGAAACCGGGGCUAAUACCGGAUAACCCUUCGGACCUCAUGGUCCGGAGCUGAAAGACGGUUAUGCUGUCACUUACAGAUGGGCCCGCGGCGCAUUAGCUAGUUGGUGAGGUAACGGCUCACCAAGGCAACGAUGCGUAGCCGACCUGAGAGGGUGAUCGGCCACACUGGGACUGAGACACGGCCCAGACUCCUACGGGAGGCAGCAGUAGGGAAUCUUCCGCAAUGGACGAAAGUCUGACGGAGCAACGCCGCGUGAGUGAAGAAGGUUUUCGGAUCGUAAAACUCUGUUGUUAGGGAAGAACAAGUACGAGAGUAACUGCUCGUACCUUGACGGUACCUAACCAGAAAGCCACGGCUAACUACGUGCCAGCAGCCGCGGUAAUACGUAGGUGGCAAGCGUUGUCCGGAAUUAUUGGGCGUAAAGCGCGCGCAGGCGGUCUUUUAAGUCUGAUGUGAAAGCCCCCGGCUCAACCGGGGAGGGUCAUUGGAAACUGGAGGACUUGAGUGCAGAAGAGGAGAGCGGAAUUCCACGUGUAGCGGUGAAAUGCGUAGAGAUGUGGAGGAACACCAGUGGCGAAGGCGGCUCUCUGGUCUGUAACUGACGCUGAGGCGCGAAAGCGUGGGGGAGCGAAACAGGAUUAGAUACCCUGGUAGUCCACGCCGUAAACGAUGAGUGCUAAGUGUUAGAGGUUUUCCGCCCCUUUAGUGCUGCAGCUAACGCAUUAAGCACUCCGCCCGGGGGGAGUACCGGUCGCAAGAACUGAAAACUCCAAAGGAAUUUGACCGGGGGCCCCGCACAAGCGGUUGGAAGCAAGUGGGUUUAAUUUCGAAGGCAACCCCGGAAGAACCUUUACCCAGGGUCUUGGACAUCC
rnacentral:rRNA from 1 species